GAGAGGGAGACAGAGCGACAGAGAGAGAGAGAGAGAGGGUGGUUCAUUUUCCAUUUGCUUCCUGAAAGUCGAAGCUCCAAUUGCAUCCAUUGUCAUUUCGAUUUGGGAGAGCGUGGUUGCUGUCGGUGAGAUUGAGGGAUGGGUGUGAGAUUCGGUGAGGGGAAAGGUUACAGGGAGAAAGAGAGACAGGCAGAGAAAGAGGGAGGACUGGGGUGAAUAGGUCCCCAUAUGGACAAAUCCAUGCUCAGAACUAAUUUAGGGUUAGAGUUCUGAAAUUAAAUUUCUCCCCAAUUUGCCCUCUCUCUUAAAUCACCAUAUCCAGGGGGAUUACCAAAAGGAGCUCAUAAAGCAUUCUGCGAGCAUGAUCGACCUUGAUCAUUUGGAUAUUUAAAGGAGCCAUUGAUAAAGGGAAGACGACGAGUUGUGAACCUGUGUGCCAAUUUUGCAGACAAGCAGAAACUCUGACACAGUGAUCAAACAGGCUUUCAUGUUGGCGUAUUUUGAUUAAUAGCUGUGAAACCCAUUGUGUGUCGCACCAUGAAAUUCCGUUUCUGUAUUUAUUGUAGAAUAUUUCCUUCGUUCUCUCCACUCGAUUCGAUUUCGUGAUUCAUGAACAGUGGAAGGUGUCGUUGCUGUAACACAAAACCCAGCUUUCAGCUAUCUGCUGGCAUCUCUCUGAAGAAGUUAUUAGCAUGGGGAUUGGUUAAUGGUAUCUAACACACAAUUUCGAAAAGUUGUGAGACCAAAGCAGGCCUAAAGGAACUGAGGCACUACCUAAAGGAAUUAUUUCCAAGGCCUCCGACUUGCUAAUGCAACCGUUAUGGGGUCCCCAAAACAAAAAGAACUCAAAGUCAUCAACAAGCUUAUUGGCCAUUGCAGUUGGAUUAAAGUAAGUAAAUUGUGAUCUUUUUUUUUCCUCAACUUCAAUACACUGAAACAUUAUCCUCUGACAAUGUAUUAAUCCACCAUCUGUUACUUGUGGGAAUCCAGUCUGUUUUGUGUGCUUUCUGCUAUAAUUGUUUUCCUUACAGCCCUUUUAUUGAUUGUUUGCAGCCCUUAUAUUUGUUAUUUAUACAUAAAAUACCUCCUGAAUGCUCACAUUAAAUAGUUAAAACUUCUAAUUUUCUCAUUAUUGUUUCUUCCUUAUAUAUUCGUUACAUGUUUACACUAUUGAAAAUUGUGACCUGACAUAGAAGUGGAUUUUGACAUGAUUUGUGUUUUUACAUCUGCAGUAUCAUGUUGGCAUUAUUGCUUACGUAUGAAUGCAAGUCAAUUUUACAUCUAUCUAACGCCUUUAAUUGUUAACUCUGCAUUUUUCAAUGUUCACUAAUGCCUUUAAUUGUGCUCUGUUUUCAAUGUUCACCACUCAAUAUUGAUUCAUGUGUUAAUCGAGGGCAUACGAAGUGCAUGUGAAAGUCUAUUGCUCCUGCAGCCACAAUUGUUCCUUCCUCCGCAAUUUCCUCAGUGUUACCUAAAGUGAUAAAGAAGAAAGCUUGGGAAGUUGCGCAUGUCCCAUUCAAGAAUUUGGCGGUGAUGGUUUCAUGAUGUGGAUGGUUGGGAGUAUAGUGCAUUUGUUUAGCAUUGGAAUCACAUUUUCCGCUCUUUGGCAACCCAUAAUCACCUUACAUGGUGUAGGGAAGGACUUGCAUACUUCUAAAUCGGAAAGGAAAAAUAAGCACUUUAGGCGGUUCAUGCAGACGGACCAUGUAAAAGAAAAGCACAAGUAAAGGUUUCCAUGAGUGAGUUUAUAGUGCAUCAAUUUCUUUGCUACUUUAUUUUAAUGCAUUCAACAACUGAUUUGGUUUAUUGUGAGUUUAUAGUGUUCAAGCUUAUUUUUGCUUGGUUGGAUAUGCAGUUGAAUUACCAAACGUAACCAAUGUUUUGAUCAGUUAGUGAGAAAACAAAAAUUAGAAGAUUUUCUGUUCGACAUCCUGCAAUCAAUGAUUAAGGGUUUUUGUGUCAUUUUGGUAUAGGCAUGGUUAAGGCAUUGCAAUUCCAUCGUUAAUAAUUUGAAAAGCCCAGCAAAUUGCUUUUUAGCAAAUUCAUCUAAAAAAAUGUCCAGAAAUUUCCAUUGAUUACAGCAAGAAAAUGGUACUAUUUGAAAGGCUCUGAAUUGCUGAUUGAUUUAUUAUUUUUAAAAUUUUUAGAAUUUUGGGUCAUUGGAGGUAGAAGUUGGUUGCUUGCUUGACAUUAUGAGGUGUAUAAUUAUACACCCAAUUGACUUUGAUCUUUAUGUUUUUAAUAAUUUAGAAAGAGUGGCGUUGAUAAUUCAGAAAUAUGUGUUCAUGUUUACAUAACAAAUUCAUCUUUAGAGAUUUGUUUGGUUUUGAAAUUCCAUCAAAAGCUAUGGAUUUUGUGCGAUUGAUUUUGUGAGGGAGAUAAGGCACAACCUUCUCCAUUGGUGGAUUAUUAUCUAUCCUUAGUCUGAAUGCAUCAGCAAACAUUGUUUGAUCCACCACCAAGUACAAUUACUGAAAUCAUAUAUAAUAGAGAAUUUAUUUACUUUUUGAUGAACAUAUUAGAGAAUUCCUAAACAUGCUAAUAGAAAACACUCUUGAUAAGCACUAGAGAAUGACGUGAUAGAUAUUUCAGGUCUUAUACAUUUAGUUAGUUGCUGGUGAUUUUGUCACUAGAAAACUCAAUGGGUGACAUCUUGGCUUGCCAAUAGACAUGUGAUACACUUUUUUAAGACUAAGAGUAUGUUCUUAUUUAUGGUUGGAGCAUUAGUAGUGGUUUUAUCUAAUUUUAAAGGAUCAUUUGUUUGGAUGAACCUUAUCCGUGUGGUGCUAGGUCAUGGUGGGUACAAGAAACGAAAUAGAACUGUUUCUUCCUUAUGUAUAAGUGUGCUGAUUUAAGAUAUUGUUCUUUGUUUGUUUUGCCACGCCAACCUUGAAAUCUGCAAUUCUUUGUGAUGGUUCAAUUACAAAUUUUGAUUCCCGGAUGAGUGGAUUUGAUAUUGGCGCUUGCUUAGAGGUAAUAGAGCAUAUGGAGGAAGGUCAAGCAUCUGAGUUUGGCAACGUGGUGCCAAGCAUAUGGACUUGAGUGGUGUUGAUGAUGAGGAAUUUUCUAGACCUUAAUGACCUUAAGGCAUUGGUGCUUGAUCAUGUUCAUGAGCUAUUUUUCAAAGGGGUUUCGUUGCGGCUUAUUAGUUUUGGUAUUUAAUGAAAAUGAUAUGAAUGUGAAACAUGGAUAACAAAGUUUAUUGUAUCAUAUAGGAAAAAUGAAAAGGGAAUAUGAGAUGAUAUUGAAGAAGGCCUUGCAAAGCAUCUGCUUGAUUCAAAUAUCACAACCUCAGUUAUUGUUUAGGUGAGGUUUUCUAUUUAUAUGAAAAUCCUUGAAUCCUUUAAUAUUUUAGGCAUUGUGUCAGCAACUUGAGAUGAUUGUAAGCAGUACACAUAGCGUUGAUACCUUUUACAUUACAUGCAUAUUUGUUUCGUUGGAAUUAAACUUGCAAUAUACAAACUUAUGCCAAGGAAAAGUCAGGGCCUUUGGAGUCUGAUAUUCUUUGUUAGAGUUUCUAUUACAAAAUUAAGGAGCUAUCCUAAUGAGGGCAUGUUUGGAGGUCAUUUGCUUUGGUUGGUUGGAGUUUCAUCCUUGCAGCUUGCUUCAUUGGCUCUUAGGUAUUACGUCUUUUUAGUUCA